GCCCAAGUGUGGUUGGCUGAAGGAGCGCCUGUGCCCUGGAGGAUCGCCAGAGGGAGCCGGAACCUCCGCGCAGAGCACUGCUCCAAUCUCGGCCCUGCUACUGAGAAACAUCUCAUAACUUCUACGAGAUGACUUGACAGAGCUGCAGAUGCUGAAAACGGUACUUAACUACUAUUUGGGAAAAAUCAUUGUGGUUAAUUUAUAAAAAGCUGAAAGGGAAAGUGCCUGUGGGCCAGCUCUCGUCCCAAGAGAGGUCCUCCCUGCUUUCAAGGUCUUAGACAUACCCACUCACAGUGUGAGAUGGACAGAAGUGGUUGAGUCCUUCCUCCACCAAUCAAGAUGUGUGCCCUGACCUCACAGGACCAGAAAAGCCAAGGGCGCAGGCCAAGACCACUCUGGUGGGCAUGUUAUCACAGCUUGUUCGCCUGUCCCUCCCAGGCAGGGACAUCGUGGGGGGCCUGGGGCAAUAGGGUUGGGGGUAGAGGAGGCC